UGCCUUAUAAAAACGGUCGAAUACAUUCGCGACUGCGUCGUUAGAGCAAAACAAAGCACCUGAAGCAACAUGCCAUCGCAGCUGAUUGUCAUAACUUUAAUCAGUUUUGUGGGAAUCUUUCCUGCAGAAGGCGUCAUUUGCUAGGUGCCCUUUGAAAAUGUGGGCAACCGUUGCCUCUUCAUCGAUGUCCACACCGGGGCACCUGGCAAGAGGUGGAGAAUUUCUGCAAAGAGCAAUUAAAAGGAAAGAUGUUCAACUUGGAUUCAUUAUCAAUCUACUCCUACAUUCUCGAUUACCUCAAAGUGAAAGGUCUAUCAAAAUACAGCUUCUGGACUGACGGGAGCGACCAGGUCAUCGAAGGUCACUUCUUCCACACGAAUACAGGCAACCCCGUGGAAAUGGGAACGCCCUUCUGGGCCUACGAUUGCACCUCCCAGCAGGAGUGCCAACAAGAGCCCCUCGGAGGAGAGCAAGAGAACUGCGUGGAAUUGGACGGAACUCGUUUCCAUUACCUCAACGAUGUUUCUUGCAACGCUUAUAAUUAUGUCAUUUGUCAGGAUUAUUAGAUUCUCAUGGAUGACGAUUCUUUACAUUUUGUCUUGUUUUCUUAUCGUAAAUAAAUUGACUUCUGUAUCAGAUGAAAA